UGAUACUAAGCCAUGCGAGUCAUUGUAGCAAUACAAGGCAUACGGCUCAGUAACGCGUAGUCAACCUAACCUAUGGACGGGAAUAACCUCGGGAAACUGAGAAUAAUGCCCGAUAGAACAUUAUGCCUGGAAUGGUUUAUGUUCCAAAUGAUUUAUCGCCGUAGGAUGGGACUGCGGCCUAUCAGUUUGUUGGUGAGGUAAUGGCCCACCAAGACUAUUACAGGUACGGGCUCUGAGAGGAGUAGCCCGGAGAUGGGUACUGAGACACGGACCCAGGCCCUAUGGGGCGCAGCAGGCGAGAAAACUUUGCAAUGUGCGAAAGCACGACAAGGUUAAUCCGAGUGGUUUCUGCUAAAGGAACCUUUUGUCAGUCCUAGAAACACUGAUGAAUAAGGGGUGGGCAAGUUCUGGUGUCAGCCGCCGCGGUAAAACCAGCACCUCAAGUGGUCAGGAUGAUUAUUGGGCCUAAAGCAUCCGUAGCCGGCUCUGUAAGUUUUCGGUUGAAUCUGUACGCUCAACGUACAGGCUGCCGGGAAUACUGCAAAGCUAGGGAGUGGGAGAGGUAGACGGUACUCGGUAGGAAGGGGUAAAAUCCUUUGAUCUAUUGAUGACCACCUGUGGCGAAGGCGGUCUACCAGAACACGUCCGACGGUGAGGGAUGAAAGCUGGGGGAGCAAACCGGAUUAGAUACCCGGGUAGUCCCAGCUGUAAACCAUGCAAACUCAGUGAUGCAUUGGCUUGUGGCCAAUGCAGUGCUGCAGGGAAGCCGUUAAGUUUGCCGCCUGGGAAGUACGUACGCAAGUAUGAAACUUAAAGGAAUUGGCGGGGGAGCACCACAAGGGGUGAAGCCUGCGGUUCAAUUGG
rnacentral:rRNA from 1 species